UGCUGGUAAAGCAGAUUCCAAUUGUAUCAGACAUGGCAGGUUUGUAACAUAUUUUUACAAAAUGGUUGUUGCACAUUUUCAAGAAUCACACACACACAAUCUAUAACUUUAUCCUGCUCAAUAGAUGAAAUUUAACUCUUUUUGCUCUGAAGUGUGUGGUUAAAUUAGGUUGAAUAACAUCUUACAAGGAAAUUCAGCUACAAGCAGGGACAUGUAAUUGAGGCAGAAACCUGAGAUGAGUCUUCUUCUAUAUGCUUCACUCAUUUUUUGGACAGUUGAAUCUAGAUAUGCCUAAGGCUUAUUGUUGUUUAUAUAUUGGCCUAAAUUUUAGAUGUGAUUCAUUUUGCAGAAAUAAAAUAUAAUCUGAGAACUGCACUGGUUUAAUUUUAGUAUGGUUCACCACAUUUUUAGUUAUCUGCCUGCUCUCCCAUCUUAAAUUAGCCGUCUCAUGAUUCUAUAAUUUCCCUAGGAAUUAAAGAAAACAAAUCAAAGUAACUGAUUAAAGUGAUUCUUAAAAAAAUCUUUGUAUCACCCUGUGUAUUGCAUGUAGAUGCUGUUUAAUGCAAUUUGUAAUGAAAGGUUCAAUUCCAUGAUCAAUAAAAAGAAAUUCAGACAAUUUUUGCAUCAAUGAGAAAGUUUCCACUCUGGUGCUAUACCAACACUCUUAAAAAUUCUAGCAUUGUGUAUAUCUUGCACAUGCUUUUAGUGUGGGAUGGUGGUUAUUCUUACAAUCAUGCGCCAAUUAGAGUAAAGCUAGAUAUCUGUGUCACUGUUUUGUUCUCUACAAAAAUAUGGGGAAUAGGGUUGUUAAAAAUGUACUUUGAAAGUUUGUAAUCUAAUUGUGUAAAGGUUGAGCUUGAGUUAGGUGGGUGGAUGCACCGCAGUUUAGAGUGCAUGCAUGAAAAGUAGCUCAACGUAAUCAAGAAAAAUUUCAUCAUUGGUAAACGAAGGAAAUGUCUUAAAGCCAGAUUGUUUUCUGUUAGAAAUCUGCUGCUGAUAUCUGGUUGGUCUAAUUUUAUGACACUAUCUAAAGAAUUCAAACUUUCUAUAAUGAAGGAUUGAUUACAGGAAAAUACAUAGAUACGAAAAUGCAUCUUAUGGACAAGUCAAGAUCUGAAAAUACAUAGUUAUGAAAAUGCAUCUUAUGGACAAGUCAAGAUCUGUCCUAUAGGAGAAUACAUAGUUAUGAUUGUCACACCUUUCCUAAUGGAACAGCUUCCACUAGUGUGUUAAUCUAUUUCCUGUCAAGAGUUUGACCCAUUCAUAUUUGUACAUGUGAGACAGCCAAAUUAUGAAAAUCCUUGGUGGAGAUCCAUUUUGGGAUGCAAGGAUUGAUUACAGGCUGUCUUCGCCAAGUAUAGAGUCUACAGAGCUAAUUCUCCCAGAGAUAACUGUUGUGAAGUUCCAUUUGUAUGAGUGCUUGGGAACAUAUAUGAGAAAAUUGGAGAAAUUUUCUGCCGCCCACAGGACUAGAUUCAUGUAGCUGAUCCAAAAAUAUCCAGGAUGUGGGUAGGAUGAUUAUAGUGGCAAUGAUGUGGAAGGAACAUUUUUUGGAUAUGCUUCAAAUUGUCAUGCAGUAACAAUGACGACUGCAAUAAAGAAGAUAUUUUAUGGCCAAGUACGUCAUUUAUGCUGGCAUUCAGCUGGAGAGCUUGGUACUAUUCUUACGCAUUAUUCCUUAUCUAUUACUGUAGAAACAUCCCGACAAUAUCUACAUUGGUUCCACUGGAGCUUGUAUGAUUGAAGUGGAUUGUUUAUAAUGAUUUGCACCAUGAAUAGCAAUGAAAUAUCAAGGUUUCAUUUUGUCAUUCACCUGACCUAAGGGAUCUGACUUUCACUGGCCCUUUGUUCCUUGUGGUUAGCAAAGUCACUGUUCUAGUUCAGAGAACCCAAAUCUGAGAGGCAUUUCUUCUAGAUGGAGUCAAUACCCUUAGAAGUAAGGAUUGUUCUCUACCAUAGCCAUCCUAGGAUUAUUCAAUACAAUGUGAUAGCAGGGGGGUAAGAAAACUUUGUUUAAUGGAAUUAAGUAUAAUCUAGGUCCUAUGGAUCUAACCAUCUGAUCUGAUACCCUCAGGUCAGCUGCCUUAAGGAUGGGCUUUGUCUGUCAUCUCAUUCUUGGAUUGCUCAAAAAUCAUUCUUGUUUUUUGUCUGUUUGAAUUGAGGAUUUGGGCCGUGCAGAUUUGGAUUUGAGGGUCUAAAUCUAAUUACUUUGUUUGGAUAGUUUGAUAGGGUUAGUACUUGGAUUUAGGCCAAAUACAUCAGGGAUUCUGAAACCGAUAGGGUUAGUACUUGGAUUUAGGCCGAAUACAUCAGGGAUUCUGAAACCCAAAAUCCUCAAAUUUGACAUAACAUCCAGCCCUUGAGAAUUUUUGAAAUCCUUAACCACAUUUUAAAAUGACCAAAACAUCCCCAAAACCAAAGAUGACCAAGAUAUCCCCGAAUGUAAAAAAUAACUAGAAUAUCCCCAAAACUUAGGAAAUGGCCGAAAGGCCCAGAAACUUUAAAUGACAAAUACCCUUAAAUCUCUAAAAUAAUCAAAAUACCUAUUAAAACUUCCAAAACGACCCAAAAAGUCUUGAAAGCUCCAAAGUGAUUGAAAUACUCUGAAUACUCAAUACCUUCAAAAGAGUAAAAUACUCCCAAACGUCCAAAAUGAU